CCCGCCUUAGGAUAAUAUACUAUAUGAAAAUACAAUGACGUAAACAUCGGAAUCUGCAUGUAUAAUGAGCUACACAAAUAAAUCGCUUGAUAGCAAAUUGUGACGAACUUUAUACGUAUUUUUAAGCGUUUAAUGCAUUUUUACACAUUUUGCUGGGCUGCCUAUGGUUUCAUUGCAUAAAAGGAACGAAAUUUAAAUUUUAUCGCAGUAUUUGCCGAUAAAUCGGUAAUCGCUACAGAUAAAACAGAACAAAUUACAGUAAAUCACAACAAACUACAGAAGCGGAAGUGGGACACUUUUUGUAUUUUCACUGUAAAUGAGGGGAGCGGUCAAAACAUGAAGAUUUUCAAGCUUUUACAGUAAAUACGGAUCACAAGACAGCAAGAGAUCAAAAAUAUUCGGAAACAUUCAGGUAAGUUUGGCUCUAUUUUUUUCUUCUUAUAUACAUCAGGCAAUGACAUUUUUAGUGUUCAAUCCGAGGUUCAAUCUAGAGGCAAACAAUGUGCUUUUAUGAGUUUAUCAGCACUUUUAACUGCCCAAAAUAUACUUUUGAUCGAUUGGUCAAAAGCAACAUCUAAUCGUCUUAUUACAAGGAGACAAAAUGUACUUGCAAGCUCUGGAUAAUGGCUUUGUUGUCUUAGAAACUGCCCAAAAUAUACCACUGACCGAUUGGUCAAAAACAUCAUUUAUAAAUAAUGUCUUAUUACAAGGAGACAAAAUGUACUUGCAAGCUCUGAAUGAUGGCUUUGUUGUCUUAGAACCUGCUGUCGAAUUCUUAUCUGUCGAUAAUUUACCUAAACUUGUCAGUGUUUCAAGUUGUAUACAAACAUGUUUCUUACAAGAUAAUUAUGUGAUUCUGUGAUCGACACAAGUAAUAUACCACAUGUAGUGUAUGCAAAAACAACUACAACACCUGUGAAUCCUUUUGAUACACAAAAUAAUGAUACUAUAAACAGUCUGCCCAUGGUGGUAGGACAAAAUAAUAGCAUUCUAUAUCCAUUGUAGUAGAGUCCAUUGAGGCAAAAAUAUCAUUGAUCUGCCCAUUGUAGAGCCCAUUCAAGGCAAAAACUAUAGAUCUGCCCAUUGUGCCAAUGUGGCAGAGCCCGUUGAGGCAAAAACUAUAGAUCUGCCCGUUGUGGUAGAGCCCAUUGAGACAAAAACUAUAGAUCUGUCCAUUGUGGUAUCUAGAGCCCAUUGAGGCAAAAACUAUUGAUCUGCCUGUCGUCUAGCCCAUUGAGGCACCAACUAUCAGCGAUCUGCCCAUUGCGAUGGAGCCCAUUGAGGCACCAACUAUCAGACUAGGGGUCAGCCAGGGGGGGGUCGUGGUAUCCUAAAUAGCUGAUAAAUAUGGAUCAAAAUACCUAUUAUUAUGGUCAAAAUGUUACAUAAUACCUAAAGCAAUCAGAAGCUGUAUACCAGACCUAAUACCCAAAAUUAGUCAUAACAUAUAUACAGUAUACUCGAAUUAAAUACCAUUAGAUCCUUAUAUAUACACAAAACCCUAUGGCCGACCCUACAGACUGCUCUGCCCAUUGUGGUGGAGCCCAUUGAGGCACCAACUAUCAGUGAUCUGCCAUUAUGUGCAAAGGCAAUGAGUUUAUAGAGUUUAUAGUGUUCCAUUUCUAGAUGUUUAUAGCUUUAAACAAAUGUGGAAUGUUGCUAAAUCAGGUUUAAUAUUAAAGAUUCCUAGAGCAACCCAGUGUGGAUUAUUGUCUGCACAUAUAUUGACUUACCAGCAAUUACAUGUAAUAUUACUAACAUUUUAACUGACUUUUGUAUAAGAUCUGAGAUAUGUCUAUUGUUAGCAUAAUAUGAAAUAAUUCUAGUGGCCUACAUAUGGCUGUGUCACUACAAUAAUGCUCACAAUUUCUUUCUUAUUAUAUAUUUUUUCAGUUCUGACAGAGUGCAAUCUUAAUCAUGUCAAUGAAUGGUGUCAUCUGAAGCAUAUUAAACAGAAAUGUCAACAAAUACAUUUUGUCUACCCAUCGGCAGAUUGUUCGGUUGGUUUGUGAUAGGGGAAGCCAUGAAGGUGGCAUUAUACAUGUAAAACGAUAAUUGGAACAAAAACCGACUUUAUAGUAUUUUUAUAUAAACAUUGUUCUGUAUUCAGUGGCAAACUCACACAUGUGAUCACCAAGUUUAUACUUUAUAGUGCACUUUUUAUAAGAUGAGAUGUAAGAUACAACCAGGGAUGCCGCAACUGGGGGGGGGGGCAGGAAUGGCAGCCACCCCUGUUGCCCUUUACCACGAGGGGCAAGGGGGGCAAAGGUGUCCUUUCAAUUUAAAGGAUUGCCUUGGCAAAAUAGCGAAUUGUCAGAAAUGUUAGUGGAAUUCUUUUACUAAUUUGCUUCAGAAAACGCAAGAAUUGCAGUCAUCGAGCUUCAUGAAUAGCAUAAUCGCCUGGCGGAGAACCCCCUCACACCCCUAUCAUCCAAUAAAUAGAAAACAUGAUUAGGUGAAGUUCAACUCCCGAUGUUUUGUAAACAUCUCUUAGUACAUAUCAAUUCAAAAGUGCCCUUUCACGAAAAUCUGCCACCCUUGCCGUCACAUCGUUCCGGCGUCCCUGGAUACAAUUGUAGAAGGUAAUUGAUGUAGAACAUGUGUAAGACAUUAAAUCAUACAUACAGUGAAAAAGACACUUUUUGGUUGUAGUACAUCCUGCAUGUACAUAUCGGCAGCAUUUUGCUUGCGAUACAACCUCGUCCCCAGGGCCUUUGAGCUGGAGAAGGCCCUGGCAUCGGCUGCGGUGUUCUUAUCACCCAUUGGUCAAAUCCCUUUUACUGAAAUAGCAUAAUUAUAAUAAUUAUACAUGAAAUCGACAUGCGAAAUAUGCAUAUUAUAAAUUCAAUUAGCCAGGAGCGUACAAUACAGUAUUUCGAUGGAGAACAACAGUACACAAUCUACACCUAGAAAAGUUUAUUUAAAACAGAAACAUAAAGGAUGCUGCAGAUUAUGUGGAUGUGAAACGGAAAGCCGGCGCAUGACAAACGUUUUAUCGGUAGCAGCAGUACAGAAGUUUCUGGUUAAAAUAAUAUCCGAAUCGUGUGGAAUUUUUAUACAAAGAUCGGACGGUCUUCCCACGGCUGUAUGCAAUAAAUGCAUAACCUUCGUUAAAAAAA
rnacentral:lncRNA from 1 species